rnacentral:rRNA from 1 species
AGCGAACGCUGGCGGCAUGCCUAACACAUGCAAGUCGAACGAACCUUUCGGGGUUAGUGGCGGACGGGUGAGUAACACGUGGGAACGUGCCCUUAGGUUCGGAAUAACUCACGGAAACUUGUGCUAAUACCGAAUGUGCCCUUCGGGCGAAAGAUUUAUCGCCUUUAGAUCGGCCCGCGUUUGAUUAGCUAGUUGGUUGAGGUAAUGGCUCACCAAGGCGACGAUCAGUAGCUGGUCUGAGAGGAUGACCAGCCACAUUGGGACUGAGACACGGCCCAAACUCCUACGGGAGGCAGCAGUGGGGAAUCUUGCACAAUGGGCGAAAGCCUGACGCAGCCAUGCCGCGUGAAUGAUGAAGGUCUUAGGAUUGUAAAAUUCUUUCACCGGGGACGAUAAUGACGGUACCCGGAGAAGAAGCCCCGGCUAACUUCGUG